CCCGGUUGCCAUCGAUGAGGUCCCGCAGGCGGCGCCGCACCUCCUCGCGGGCCUCAGAGGUCUGGUGACUGGUGCCGGGAGACGACAGGCGGACGCGGCGGCCGGGUGGCGACGACAUGGGACCGCCGCGGACGGCCGGGCCUCCUCAGGAAUCGGGACGGGCGGCCGCCCAGGGGACGAAGCCGUCGACGCCGCUGAGAACUUGAGAACGCUGCGCACUGGCCGCCGGGGCACGGGGGACAGCUACGGAGCCACGCCUCCGACCGCGCGACCUGCAGGGAGGACCCGCCUAUUGGCCGGCCACGCCCCCGGAGCAGCUUCGCCCCACCUCCAAGGCCUCAGCGGGGCCACGCUAAGUCCCCUUAGGGCAGCCCCGAGUGCUGGAGACUAGGCAGUCUGCCUCCCAGCAAUGUGGAGAGUAGUAGUCACUCACCAUUUUCAAAGAUGCGGUGCCUACCUUUGAAAGCUUGUACGCUCUGCUGUUCUUGUAAUUAUUGUUUUCAUUAUCAUUUUACUGCAGCUUCUGCCGCCCAGAGGCCUCUCUGUACUACCUUCCGCUGCUGAUUCCCCGCCAGCCUCCAAAGAGAUGCUUUUAGGGAGGAUAGAUGUCUUAACUUUAUUUUGGGGAAUAUGACUGUUUAGACAUGUCAUAUUUAUGACGUAUCUAGAAAUACCGGUUUGUUUGUUUUUUAAAGUUUGCCGAAUAAAAAAAAAAAUCACUUUCCCGUUACAA